CGGGGCGCAGCCAGGGUCCUGGGACGAGACCUGGGGGACCAGCGUUCAACGAGAAAGAAUCACGGCGCAGAACCUUCCAGAUCCGGUGGUCUUGAAGUCAGAAGAGCGAGUCGGUGAGGAUGGGUCUAGGCUGUGACAAGCUACAACACUGUCAGAAGUGAAUCAGAGGGAAUGCCGCAUCCCACAACUAAAGACUGCUCUGCAGAGGCUGCCCAGCUGUCAGCGGUAUUCACCCGUCUGCAGAAUGGAUCAGGGCUCAGCGUCCUCGAAGUGGCUAGAGCUGCCAAUCAAGACUAAUUCAAGAUUCCACGUGAAGCUCCCAGAUUCACAUAACUGGCUUGAAACUAAACCCCCCCGAAAUCCAACGGCUUUCAAUUCAGCUGAGAUGAAGAAGUAAAGAGCAA